rnacentral:rRNA from 1 species
CAGUAGCCGCGGUAAUACGAAGGGUGCAAGCGUUACUCGGAAUUACUGGGCGUAAAGCGUGUGUAGGUGGUUGUUUAAGUCUGUCGUGAAAGCCCUGGGCUCAACCUGGGAAUUGCGAUGGAUACUGGGCGACUAGAGUGCGGUAGAGGAUAGUGGAAUUUCCGGUGUAGCAGUGAAAUGCGUAGAGAUCGGAAGGAACAUCUGUGGCGAAGGCGACUAUCUGGGACAACACUGACGCUGAGGCACGAAAGCGUGGGGAGCAAACAGGAUUAGAUACCCCCGUAGUCCCUGUCUCUUAUAC